rnacentral:rRNA from 1 species
UGGGUUCCUUUGACAUCCUGCGAACUUGGUAGAGAUACCUUGGUGCCUUCGGGAGCGCAUUGACAGGUGCUGCAUGGCCGUCGUCAGCUCGUGUCGUGAGAUGUUGGGUUAAGUCCCGUAACGAGCGCAACCCUUGUCCUUAGUUGCCAGCGGUCCGGCCGGGAACUCUAGGGAGACUGCCGGUGACAAACCGGAGGAAGGUGGGGAUGACGUCAGGUCAUCAUGGCCCUUACGGCCAGGGCUACACACGUGCUACAAUGGGGCGCACAGAGGGCAGCAAGCGCGCGAGUGCAAGCGAAUCCCUUAAAACGCCUCGUAGUCCGGAUCGGAGUCUGCAACUCGACUCCGUGAAGUCGGAAUCGCUAGUAAUCGCAGAUCAGAAUGCUGCGGUGAAUACGUUCCCGGGUCUUGUACACACCG